rnacentral:rRNA from 1 species
UGCAAGUCGCACGAGAAAGUGGAGCAAUCCAUGAGUACAGUGGCGUACGGGUGAGUAACACGUGGAUCAUCUACCUCUUGGUGGGGAAUAACCCUGGGAAACCGGGGCUAAUACCGCAUAAGUCCGUAAGGAGAAAGCAGCAAUGCGCCGAGAGAGGAGUCCGCGGCCGAUUAGCUAGUUGGCGGGGUAAAGGCCCACCAAGGCGAAGAUCGGUAGCCGGCCUGAGAGGGCACACGGCCACACUGGCACUGAAAUACGGGCCAGACUCCUACGGGAGGCAGCAGUGGGGAAUCUUGCACAAUGGAGGAAACUCUGAUGCAGCGACGCCGCGUGAGCGAUGAAGCCCUUCGGGGUGUAAAGCUCUUUCGACGGGAAAGAUAAUGACGGUACCCGAAGAAGAAGCUGCGGCUAACUACGUGCCAGCAGCCGCGGUAAUACGUAGGCAGCAAGCGUUGUUCGGAAUUACUGGGCGUAAAGAGUGUGUAGGCGGUGCUCUAAGUCUGUUGUGAAAUCUCCCGGCUUAACUGGGAGGGUGCGGCGGAAACUGGAGUGCUCGAGUGUGGGAGAGGUAAGCGGAAUUCCUGGUGUAGCGGUGAAAUGCGUAGAUAUCAGGAGGAACACCUGUGGUGUAGACAGCUUACUGGACCACGACUGACGCUGAGACACGAAAGCGUGGGUAGCAAACAGGAUUAGAUACCCUGUAGUCCACGCCCUAAACGAUGCAUACUUGGUGUGAGCCAUUCAUUUGGUUCGUGCCGGACUAACGCGUUAAGUAUGCCGCCUGGGGAUACGGUCGCAGGCUGAAACUCAAGAAUUGACGGGGGCCCGCACACGGUGGACAUG